rnacentral:rRNA from 1 species
UACGUAGGGGGCAAGCGUUGUCCGGAAUCAUUGGGCGUAAAGAGCGUGUAGGCGGCCCGGUAAGUCCGCUGUGAAAGUCGGGGGCUCAACCCUCGAAUGCCGGCGGAUACUGUCGGGCUAGAGUCCGGAAGAGGCGAGUGGAAUUCCUGGUGUAGCGGUGAAAUGCGCAGAUAUCAGGAGGAACACCAACGGCGAAGGCAGCUCGCUGGGACGGUACUGACGCUGAGACGCGAAAGCGUGGGGAGCAAACAGG